CAGAAGCAGAGGCAGGUGGAUCCCCCGUGAGUUCCAGGCUAGACCAAGCUGUCGAGAGAAAAGAUUCAUAACUGUCAGAAACGUAGGAUUUCAAAAGGAAAAGAGCAACAUAAAUUGCAAAGAAUAAAACUGGUAUUACAUUAUUGCAAUGAUAUAAGAACGAGAUGUCUCACUAACUAGAAAAGGAGAACAGAAUGACUCGAACCUCCGGCUUGAAGAGUCCCUUGGCGUUGUGGCUUCCUCAGCUUUAAGUCUUGUUGGCAUUCUUUCGUUCAGCUCAAAGAAGUGUCAGCCCAUCACGUGGUGAGACGCCACAGUUCCAUCUGUGGCAGCGGGACUUGGAGGCAGCCGCUGUGACAAGUCACGGGCCACCAAACAGAAGACCCAGGCAGGCGAGACCCUUGAGUCGGUCUGCUCCCAGUGACCUACCUCUGCUGUUCAGCCCCUCCUCUCUUAAAGCUUCCACAGCUUUCAAAAUAAUGUCACAAGACGGGAACCAACAACUCAAACUCAUGAGUCUGUGAUGGUCAUUUCAUACUCAAACAAUAACCUUCCGCCUUAGGUCUCCAGUGCUCUCGGACAUCUUCUGAUGCAAACUACGCUCAGUCUAACGUCUAA